rnacentral:rRNA from 1 species
UACGUAGGGACCAAGCGUUUGUCCGGAAUCAUUGGGCGUAAAAGAGCGUGUAGGCGGCUUUGUUAAGUCUUUGCGUGAAAAUCUCGGGGGCUCAACCCCCGAGCGGUCGUGAGAAACUGGCAGGCUAGAGUGCGGGAGAGGAGAGUGGAAUUCCUGGUGUAGCGGUGAAAUGCGCAGAUAUCAGGAAGAACACCCGUGGCGAAGGCGGCUCUCUGGAACGCAACUGACGCUGAGACGCGAAAAGCGUGGGGGAGCAA